rnacentral:rRNA from 1 species
UACGAAGGAUGCAAGCGUUAUCCGGAAUGAUUGGGCGUAAAGCGUCCGCAGGUGGCAAUGUAAGUCUGCUGUUAAAGAGUCUAGCUCAACUAGAUAAAAGCAGUGGAAACUACAUAGCUAGAGUACGUUCGGGGCAGAGGGAAUUCCUGGUGUAGCGGUGAAAUGCGUAGAGAUCAGGAAGAACACCGGUGGCGAAGGCGCUCUGCUAGGCCGUAACUGACACUGAGGGACGAAAGCUAGGGGAGCGAAUGGG